UCCCAGGCGUCGAGCGGCGGACGGGUGAGUAACACUUAGGAAUCUACCUAGUAGUGGGGGAUAGCUCGGGGAAACUCGAAUUAAUACCGCAUACGACCUACGGGAGAAAGGGGGCAGUUUACUGCUCUCGCUAUUAGAUGAGCCUAAGUCGGAUUAGCUAGAUGGUGGGGUAAAGGCCUACCAUGGCGACGAUCUGUAGCUGGUCUGAGAGGAUGAUCAGCCACACCGGGACUGAGACACGGCCCGGACUCCUACGGGAGGCAGCAGUGGGGAAUAUUGGACAAUGGGGGGAACCCUGAUCCAGCCAUGCCGCGUGUGUGAAGAAGGCCUUUUGGUUGUAAAGCACUUUAAGCAGUGAAGAAGACCUAACGGUUAAUACCCGUUAGCGAUGACAUUAGCUGCAGAAUAAGCACCGGCUAACUCUGUGCCAGCAGCCGCGGUAAUACAGAGGGUGCAAGCGUUAAUCGGAAUUACUGGGCGUAAAGCGAGCGUAGGUGGCUUGAUAAGUCAGAUGUGAAAUCCCCGGGCUUAACCUGGGAACUGCAUCUGAUACUGUUAAGCUAGAGUAGGUGAGAGGGAAGUAGAAUUCCAGGUGUAGCGGUGAAAUGCGUAGAGAUCUGGAGGAAUACCGAUGGCGAAGGCAGCUUCCUGGCAUCAUACUGACACUGAGGCUCGAAAGCGUGGGG
rnacentral:rRNA from 1 species